GGACGAAGAGGAGGUUGUGGAUGGUUUCUUCUUUGGAGAGGUUGAACUCGGUUUCGCCUCUUUGAAGCACGGCUUGGCCGUGUUGUUCGACGAAGUCGUAGAGUUUUCUGUAGUCUCCUUUGACGAGGAAGAAUGGGUAAGCGAAAGAGUGGAGGAAGAUCUCUUCGAGUGGUUGCAGGAAGUUGACGCUGAUGGUGGGGAGGAGCUGGAGGAAAACCCAUUUGUCGAGCAUGACGUAGCCAGACUCCGCAAUUUCCGGCGACACAGCGGGAUCCGCGCCAACAAGGCAUUUAGUUAGGAAAUGGAAGAUGAAGCGCUGGAGAGGCUUGAUGUAACUGGCGCUGUUGCUCUUGGCGACGCCGGCGUCGAUGGUGUCCCACAUGGUGUCCAGGCUGGCCACGACCUCGCUUGCCCAGAUGCUGGAACUCCGUUUCAGAAUGUCCAUGGCAAAGCUCUUUACC
rnacentral:lncRNA from 1 species